CUCGAAGCACAUCUUGACGUUGUAAGCACAUCUCUUUGUGAACUCCGAAUCAAUUAGCAGAGUUGAUUUCUCGGAUGGGUUCGUUUUUGGAACAGCUUCUUCUGCUUACCAGUUUGAGGGGGCUGUGAAUGAAGGAAACAAGGGAGCUAGCAUAUGGGAUACUUUUGCUAGGCAACCCGAUAAGAAGAAUUUACCCUUACCCCUGCAUAUGGAAGAAUUUUAGAUUUCAGCAAUGCAAACGUGGCUGUAGAUCAGUAUCAUCGAUUCAAGCUUCCUCAAUUCCAUAUUCAACUUUCAAGAUGUGAAGAGCAUUGUAUUUUUUUUUUUUU